rnacentral:rRNA from 1 species
GGUGAGUAAUGCCUAGGAAUCUGCCUGGUAGUGGGGGACAACGUUUCGAAAGGAACGCUAAUACCGCAUACGUCCUACGGGAGAAAGCAGGGGACCUUCGGGCCUUGCGCUAUCAGAUGAGCCUAGGUCGGAUUAGCUAGUUGGUGAGGUAAUGGCUCACCAAGGCGACGAUCCGUAACUGGUCUGAGAGGAUGAUCAGUCACACUGUAACUGAGACACGGUCCAG